AUUGAACGCUGGCGGCAGGCCUAACACAUGCAAGUCGAACGAGUGGCGGACGGGUGAGUAAUGUCUGGGAAACUGCCUGAUGGAGGGGGAUAACUACUGGAAACGGUAGCUAAUACCGCAUACCAUCGGAUGUGCCCAGAUGGGAUUAGCUAGUAGGUGGGGUAAAGGCUCACCUAGGCGACGAUCCCUAGCUGGUCUGAGAGGAUGACCAGCAACACGGGAACGGAGACACGGUCCAGACUCCUACGGGAGGCAGCAGUGGGGAAUAUUGCAAAAUGGGCGCAAGCCGGAUGAAGCCAUGACGCGUGUAUGAAGAAGGCCUUCGGGUUGUAAAGUACUUUCAGCGGGGAGGCGGUACCCGCAGAAGAAGCACCGGCUAACUCCGUGCCAGAAGCCGCGGUAAUUC
rnacentral:rRNA from 1 species